rnacentral:rRNA from 1 species
AAUCAACGCUGGCGGCGUGCCUAACACAUGCAAGUCGCACGAGAAAGGGACUUCGGUCCUGAGUACAGUGGCGCACGGGUGAGUAACACGUGAAUAAUCUACCUUCGAGUGGGGAAUAACUGAGAGAAAUCUCAGCUAAUACCGCAUAAUACCCACGGGUCAAAGCAGCGAUGCGCUUGAAGAGGAGUUCGCGGCAGAUUAGUUAGUUGGCAGGGUAAGGCCUACCAAGACGAUGAUCUGUAUCCGGCCUGAGAGGGCGCACGGACACACUGGAACUGAAACACGGUCCAGACUCCUACGGGAGGCAGCAGUGGGGAAUUUUGCGCAAGUGGGGGAAACCCUGACGCAGCAACGCCGCGUGGAGGAUGAAAUCCCUUGGGAUGUAAACUCCUUUCGAUCGGGAAGAUAAUGACGGUACCGAGAGAAGAA